UCAGUAUCGAUUGGCAACGGAGAGCCGCAAUCAUUAAGAGCAUAACCACGGUUGUAAACAAGAAGAUGAUACAAAAAACGGACAGCAAGAAAACAUUCAAUGUUGGACCGUAUUCUCAGAUCAAAACGAAAAUUAUUACGAAAUACAUACAUACAUUAGUAUAAAAUAAAAAUUUCGAUGGUAUGUUACCUACAUUAAAGAAGAUACAUAAUCUCAACGGUGGUUAAAGCAGAUAAAUUCCAUACAUAGAUGUUCGUUAACCUAUCACCGCUAUGUAUGUAUAUCGUGCGAUUGUGCCGGUGACGCAGUCGGUUGAUAUUUUCGGUAAAACUUGAUUGCGAUAUUCGAUUUUUGUAAAUGUUAUGUGAAAAAAUUUUCAAUUCUAUCCAAAACUCGAAUAUGAUAUAUAAAUAAUAUAUGAAUUGUCUGUAUGUAUUCCGUGGAAAUGCAAUUUUGCGGCGACAAGACAAUUAGUGGAACAGAAAAAAGUAUGAAUGAACUUCAUGGAUUAUACAAUUAAUCAUUAUCCAAAAAGAGCAACAAUGUACAAGACUGUCAAAAGGUUACUUCGGCAUAAGUAUAAGGCCUAUUGUAUAACAGUAUUAAAAGUAUUUAAAUUUUUUAU